GGGCCGCCUCUCCUAGCCUGGUGCGCAUGCUUUGGCAGACGUGGCACCGGGAACUCGGAGGCGGGGAGCGGCUGUGAAGUGGCCGUAGCUGUUGGCCGAGGUGGAGCUGGCAGGCGUGCGCGGGAGCCGGGUGCAGACGGCAGGAGGCGGCGGGGAUGGCGCGGGCGUGGGGGCUGCUACUGGCGAUUGGGGUGGUCCUGCCGACAUGGCUGUCCUCCACAAAGGUCUCUUCGCUCAUUGAGAGAAUCUCCGACCCUAAGGACUUGAAGAAACUUCUCAGGACCCGCAAUAACGUGCUGGUGCUUUACUCGGAAUCCGAGGUAGCAGCUGAAAGUCAUCUUAAGCUCCUGUCCACCGUGGCCCAGGCAGUGAAAGGCCAAGGCACCGUCUGCUGGGUGGACUGCGGUGACGCAGAGAGUAGAAAAUUGUGCAAGAAGAUGAAAGUUGACCUCAGCCCAAAGGACAAAAAGAUUGAAUUAUUCCAUUACCAGGACGGCGCCUUUCACAUGCAGUAUGACCGAGCUGUGACGUUGAAGUCCAUAGUGGCCUUUCUGAAAGACCCUAAAGGUCCCCCACUGUGGGAAGAAGAUCCUGGAGCCAAAGAUGUUGUGCACAUCGACAGUGAGAAGGACUUCAGACGACUCCUGAAGAGAGAAGAGAAGCCACUGCUCAUGAUGUUCUAUGCUCCCUGGUGCAGCAUGUGCAAGAGAAUCAUGCCACAUUUCCAGAAGGCUGCCACCCAAGUGCGAGGCCACAUUGUCCUGGCUGGGAUGAACGUCUACCCAUCAGAGUUCGAGAACAUCAAGGAAGAGUACAAUGUCCGCGGCUACCCUACCAUCUGCUAUUUCGAGAAGGGGCGGUUUCUGUUCCCGUAUGAGAACUAUGGGUCCACGGCCGAGGACAUCGUGGAGUGGUUGAAGAAUCCACUGCCACCACAGCCCCAGGUCCCCGAGACUCCCUGGGCAGAUGAGGGCGGCUCCGUUUAUCACCUGACCGAUGAAGACUUUGACCAGUUUGUGAAGGAGCACUCCUCUGUCCUCGUCAUGUUCCACGCCCCAUGGUGUGGACAUUGUAAGAAAAUGAAGCCAGAGUUUGAGAGUGCUGCUGAAGUCCUCCACGGAGAUGCUGAGCUGUCGAUGCCACCGUCAACGAGGCCCUGGCAGGAAGAUUUCACAUCUCAGCGUUUCCUACCCUGAAGUAUUUUAAGAAUGGCGAGCAGCAAGCGGUGCCUGCGCUCAGAACAAAGAAGAAGUUUAUUGAGUGGAUGCAGAACCCUGAGGCUCCCCCACCUCCAGAGCCCACGUGGGAAGAACAGCAGACAAGCGUGCUACAUCUGGUGGGGGAUAACUUCCGGGAUACCCUGAAGAAGAAGAAACACACCUUGGUCAUGUUCUAUGCCCCUUGGUGCCCACACUGUAAGAAGGUCAUCCCCCACUUCACUGCCACAGCCGAUGCCUUCAAAGAGGACCGCAAGAUUGCCUGUGCUGCUGUAGACUGUGUCAAGGACAAGAACCAAGACCUGUGUCAGCAGGAGGCCGUGAAGGCCUACCCCACCUUCCACUACUACCACUACGGGAAGCUCGUAGAAAAGUAUGAGAGCGACCGCACGGAGUUGGGAUUUACCAGUUUCAUCCGAACCCUCCGGGAGGGAGACCUCAAGAGACUAGAGAAAAGGAGGGAAGAGCUGUAAUCCCGCCUCCUGCAAGGGGCCCUUCCUUUACACUGUGAAUGAUACCUAUUUUGUUCUUUCUGAAUUUCCAUGUGUGCUGGAGACAAAAGUUUUUUAUAGCCAUGUAUGGCCUUUUGUACAAUUUUGAAAUAAAAUUAAACCAUUUAUUCA